UACGGAGGGUGCGAGCGUUGUCCGGAAUCACUGGGCGUAAAGGGCGCGUAGGUGGCGCGGGCAGUCAACGGUGAAAGUUCGGGGCUCAACCCUGAAUCGGCCGUCGAUACUCCCGGGCUUGAGCACUGUAGAGGCUAAUGGAAUUCCGGGUGUAGCGGUGGAAUGCGUAGAGAUCCGGAAGAACACCGGUGGCGAAGGCGGUCUGCUGGGCCAAGACUGACGCUGAGGCGCGACAGCGUGGGGAGCAAACAGG
rnacentral:rRNA from 1 species